rnacentral:rRNA from 1 species
UACGAAGGGGGCUAGCGUUGUUCGGAUUUACUGGGCGUAAAGCGCACGUAGGCGGAUCGAUCAGUCAGGGGUGAAAUCCCAGAGCUCAACUCUGGAACUGCCUUUGAUACUGUCGAUCUGGAGUAUGGAAGAGGUGAGUGGAAUUCCGAGUGUAGAGGUGAAAUUCGUAGAUAUUCGGAGGAACACCAGUGGCGAAGGCGGCUCACUGGCUCGAUACUGACGCUCAGACACGACAGCGUGGGGAGCAAACAGG